CAGCAGCAGCCACGGUAAUACGUAGGUGGCAAGCGUUGUCCGGAAUUAUUGGGCGUAAAGCGCGCGCAGGCGGAUAGGUCAGUCUGUCUUAAAAGUUCGGGGCUUAACCCCGUGAUGGGAUGGAAACUGCCAAUCUAGAGUAUCGGAGAGGUAAGUGGAGUUCCUAGUGUAGCGGUGAAAUGCGUAGAUAUUAGGAAGAACACCAGUGGCGAAGGCGACUUUCUGGACGAAAACUGACGCUGAGGCGCGAAAGCCAGGGGAGCGAACAGGAUUAGAUACCCCUGUAGUCCCUGUCUCUUAUACA
rnacentral:rRNA from 1 species